AACGAACGCUGGCGGCAGGCUUAACACCUGCAAGUCGAACGCCCCGCAAGGGGAGUGGCAGACGGGUGAGUAACGCGUGGGAACAUACCCUUUCCUGCGGAAUAGCUCUGGGAAACUGGAAUUAAUACCGCAUACGCCCUACGGGGGAAAGAUUUAUCGGGGAAGGAUUGGCCCGCGUUGGAUUAGGUAGUUGGUGGGGUAAUGGCCUACCAAGCCGACGAUCCAUAGCUGGUUUGAGAGGAUGAUCAGCCACACUGGGACUGAGACACGGCCCAGACUCCUACGGGAGGCAGCAGUGGGGAAUCUUAGACAAUGGGGGAAACCCUGAUCUAGCCAUGCCGCGUGAGCGAUGAAGGCCUUAGGGUUGUAAAGCUCUUCCAGUGGGGAAGAUAAUGACGGUACCCACAGAAGAAGCCCCGGCUAACUCCGUGCCAGCCGCCGCAGUAACAC
rnacentral:rRNA from 1 species